rnacentral:lncRNA from 1 species
AUGUAUUUACCUAGGUGUACAUACCGUGCCAAAAGACACUCAUACUUAUGCCUGUUUCGUCUCGACUUUCGCUCACAGCUGCUACUUUUUUGGCUUAGCAUUUUCUAUAAGGAACACACACACACACACACACACACACACACACACACAGCUUCACACACGCCAGUCUCACAAAUGCAAGCUAGCCUCAAAGCCAAGUCUGCAGCAGCAACGCCCCCCCCCCCCCCCCCCCCCCCCCCCCCCCCCCCCCCCCCCCCCCCCCCCCCCCCUUGCAGUCAUGCUAGGCAGCUGUAUGAAGCUACGACAGUGCAGAAGUUGCCCGGGCACCCUGCCCCCCUCCCACCCUCCAACCGUAUUACCCCCUCCCCCCCACUAGAGGGCUGCUCACUAAUGACACGCCUCAUUUGCCUGCUUCGACCCUUGACCUUUGACACUGACAGGAGCCCUACUAGCAGUCUGUGGAGUGUAGCACUAGGGGACGGUGCCACUGGCGCUCGCAAAACCUCUCUUCUCUUCUUCUCCUCUUCUCUUCUCCUCUCUUCUCUUCUCUUCUCCUCUCCUCUCUUCACCUCUCCUCUCCUCUCCUCACCUCACCUCUCUUCUCUUCUCAUCCUCUUUUCUAUUCUCCUCUCCUCUCUCUUCUCUCUUCUCCUCUCAUCUCUCCUCUCAUCUCUCUUCUCCUCUCAUCUCUCCUCUCAUCUCUCCUCUCCUCUCAUCUCUCCUCUCAUCUCUCCUCUCCUCCUCUCUUCUUCUCCUCUCUUCUCUUCCCCUCUCUUCUUGUCCUCUGUGCUUCUUCUUCCUAAGUGCAUUAAUGUGAAAUUGAUUGUACCUUUACCAUUUGAUUUUGUUGUGUUGUUGAUAUUUCUUGUUGGUUUGUAUGUCCGAGUUGGUGAGCUUACUUUUUCUGCGUCAGAUUCACACAGCCCAAAAACACACACAAACUACACACAAACCCACACAAACACACACACAAACACACAGAAACCCACACACAAGCACACACAGAGGGCUGGUUUGAGCUAUAUGUGA